GCAAGUCGAGCGCUUCCCUUCGGGGCGGAGCGGCGGACGGCUUAGUAACGCGUGGGAACGUACCCUUCGGUAAGGAAUAGCCACUGGAAACGGUGAGUAAUACCUUAUACGCCAUUUGGGGAAAGAUUUAUCGCCGAGGGAUCGGCCCGCGUUAGAUUAGAUAGUUGGUGAGGUAAUGGCCUACCAAGACUACGAUCUAUAGCUGGUUUUAGAGGAUGAUC
rnacentral:rRNA from 1 species